rnacentral:SRP_RNA from 1 species
GCCAGGCAUGGUGGCGGGUGCCUGUAAUCCCAGCUACUUGAGAGGCUGAGGCAGAAGAAUUGCUUGAACCCAGGAGGCAGAGGUUGCAGUGAGCCAAGAUUGCGCCACUGCACUCCAGCCUGGGUAACAGGGCAAGAUUCUGUCUCAA